ACGGGUGAGUAAUACAUCGGAACGUGCCCUGUAGUGGGGGAUAACUAGUCGAAAGAUUAGCUAAUACCGCAUACGACCUGAGGGUGAAAGUGGGGGACCGCAAGGCCUCAUGCUAUAGGAGCGGCCGAUGUCUGAUUAGCUAGUUGGUGAGGUAAAGGCUCACCAAGGCGACGAUCAGUAGCUGGUCUGAGAGGACGAUCAGCCACACUGGGACUGAGACACGGCCCAGACUCCUACGGGAGGCAGCAGUGGGGAAUUUUGGACAAUGGGGGCAACCCUGAUCCGGCAAUGCCGCGUGUGUGAAGAAGGCCUUCGGGUUGUAAAGCACUUUUGUCCGGAAAGAAAUCGCACUUACUAAUAUUAGGUGUGGAUGACGGUACCGGAAGAAUAAGGACCGGCUAACUACGUGCCAGCAGCCGCGGUAAUACGUAGGGUCCAAGCGUUAAUCGGAAUUACUGGGCGUAAAGCGUGCGCAGGCGGUUGUGCAAGACCGAUGUGAAAUCCCCGGGCUUAACCUGGGAAUUGCAUUGGUGACUGCACGGCUAGAGUGUGUCAGAGGGGGGUAGAAUUCCACGU
rnacentral:rRNA from 1 species